rnacentral:lncRNA from 1 species
GCUCAGAGCAUCUACGUGGGGAUGAUUCAUCCCACAAUAAAGCCCCUCUCCUGUUGCUCUCCUGCCAGUGUGAUUAGCAAUGGAGGUCUUUGACCCAGGCAGUCACCGCUCUCAAGGAACAAGUGUCCAUGAAGAAGCAGCCUGAGCUGUUAGGCAUCUGCCUUUGCUCAAGACAUCCUCUGCCUAACUCUCUGUGAUCAGCACUCUUCUCUGGUGAACACAUCAGCGCCAUCUGCCUUCUGUCUGCCUGGAGAGACUUGCCACAGUAGAGCUUCCUCAGCCUCACAUGAACCGCUGCAAAGGAUGUGCGCUCCUUUUGCUGAAGCCGUCAAAUAAAAAAGCUUUUUCAUGAAAAGCUAAAUAGAAUACAUGAAGAUUUUCACGACAGUAGGCUUCCGGAUUAAUGAAAUAUUCAUUUAAAUUGGACUUGGAGGAUAUGUCACUUCUUUUCUUUGAUUAAAAUAUUUAGAGCAUAACACAAAAUCACUGUGUCUUGAAAAAGCCAAACUUCAAGGAAAUUCAGCUGAUGGGGCAUCUUGUUUUCAGUGAGGUUGUUAAAGAUGAUUUUUCCAACCAGGGUCAGGUGCUUGGAACCGUUAGGUGAAUGCUAGGCAUGGUGGGAGUCCUCUUGUGUGCUUAAGAGUUUAAGAGAUCGAACCCAAUAGAUAGUAAGCUUCUUUCAAAGAGAAUGCUAAUUUUAAUGUUUUUAUGACUUAAAUAGAUUGUAAUAAGUUAUUACUUCCUAAUUUAGAUGUUGGUAUGACGACUGGGCAGACGCAUGUUCUUGUUCCACAUCAACAUUGUAUGACUGCAGAGUGUAGCCUGAGUGCUUAGGAAAGGGUACUUUUACGAUAUUGGAAGACUGGACAUCGUGACAUUAGGAGGAGGGAGGGGGUUACUGGGCUGUUCUAAAAUUAGCAAUGUGAAGAGCUGGUUCAAACUUAAUUGCCUAGGUGUGGAAGAAAUAUACUUGUAUUGUGCUUAAUAAUGUGAAUUAUCUGUAUCAUUAAAUAACAGGAAACCCGUUUGAGUUUCUUCUUCCUGUCCAAAUAAAUAAAUAAAUAAAUAAAUAAAUAUAAUUAACACAGUGAAAAA